AGAAAAGAAAAAUAAUAGGAUAAAGAUGAUCAGCACAGCAAGUGGGUUCCGGAUCCUUCUGAAGUAAGUAUAGCCAUCCCCUAUAAAUAGAAACUUUUUUACUUUACCAGGGGACAAAAAAAAAACCGAGAAUUGAGAAGAAAAAGACCAUUAAAAAAAAACAGAGACUGAAAGUAACCAGAUAAGAGAACCAAGAAGCCUGUUUUUAGCUUUCACUUUCACUAAGAUAUAAUCGGUGUUUUGAGUAAGGUUGGACGAGUACAAGAGUUCACAAUCCUUAGAAAGAUUGAGAAGGUCGUCCGAAUUGAUCGACCUUUCUGCAACAGGGUAAAAUUACCCAGGAAAUUCCAAUAGAUAUGUGCUGGAAUGGAGCCAACCAGAAUUUUGUAUCGACCAACUCUUUGAAGAACCUCUCAUGAUCAAGUAGCGCUCCUAGCUAUCGUCUGAACGUGAACAAAAUAACUGCACUUAUUUUGUUAAUAAAUCUCGACAAAUGCACGACAACAUCAUCUCCAUGAAGUAUCUGUGGAGAUAUUUAGGUUGCGUGGUCUGAAAUAUGGAAGACAUAAUUCCUUUUUCAUUUGUAUUAUGAAAAGUUGUUUUGUUUAUUAAUUCUUUGGGUAGGUUGUGACCCAAUUCCAAUAAUCAAUUAUGUGAUGUUA